GGCUCGGUAGUGGAUGGUCCACAUCUGCUUUCCACCACAAGUGUGCGAGCAAACAAUGCAGACAAAGCCUGUUCGCCUCAGGCCCGAGCCA